GACGAACGCUGGCGGCGUGCCUAACACAUGCAAGUCGAACGAGCCCUUCGGGUCUAGUGGCGCACGGGUGCGUCACGCGUGGGAACCUUCCCUUAGGUUCGGAAUAACUCCCCGACAGGGGUGCUAAUACCGGAUAAUGUCUUCGUCCCAAAGAUUUAUCGCCUUUGGAUGGGCCCGCGUUGGAUUAGCUAGUUGGUAGGGUAAAAGCCUACCAAGGCGACGAUCCACAGCUGGUCUGAGAGGAUGAUCAGCCACACUGGGAGUGAGACACGGCCCAGACUCCUACGGGAGGCAGCAGAGGGGAAUAGUGGACAAUGGGGGAAAGCCUGAUCCAGCAAUGACGCGUGAGUGAUGAAGGCCUUAGGGUUGUAAAGCGCUUUUACCCGGGAUGAUAAUGACAGUACCGGGAGAAUAAGCUCCGGCUAACUCCGUG
rnacentral:rRNA from 1 species